rnacentral:rRNA from 1 species
UACGUAGGGAGCAAGCGUUGUCCAGAAUCAUUGGGCGUAAAGCGCGCGUAGGUGGCCCCAUAAGUCCGCUGUGAAAGUCAAAGGCUCAACCUUUGAAAGCCGGUGGAUACUGUGGGACUAGAGUACGGAAGAGGCGAGUGGAAUUCCUGGUGUAGCGGUGGAAUGCGCAGAUAUCAGGAGGAACACCAAUAGCGAAGGCAGCUCGCUGGGACGUUACUGACACUGAGGCGCGAAAGCGUGGGGAGCAAACAGG